GACGAACGCUGGCGGCGUGCCUAAUACAUGCAAGUAGAACGCUGAAGGAGGAGCUUGCUCUUCUGGAUGAGUUGCGAACGGGUGAGUAACGCGUAGGUAACCUGCCUGGUAGCGGGGGAUAACUAUUGGAAACGAUAGCUAAUACCGCAUAAGAGUAGAUGUUGCAUGACAUUUACUUAAAAGGUGCAAUUGCAUCACUACCAGAUGGACCUGCGUUGUAUUAGCUAGUUGGUGGGGUAACGGCUUACCAAGGCGACGAUACAUAGACGACCUGAGAGGGGGGUCGGCCCAACUGGGACUGGGACACGGCCCAGACUCCUUCGGGAAGCAGCAGUAGGGGAUCUUCGGCCAUGGGCGGAAGUCUGACCGAGCAACGCCGCGUGAGGGGAGAAGGUUUUCGGGUCGUAAAGCUCUGUUGUAAGGGAAGAACGAGUGUGGGAGUGGAAAGUUCACACUGUGACGGUAUCUUACCAGAAAGGGACGGCUAACUACGUG
rnacentral:rRNA from 1 species